CAGACUGUUGAGUGUCCAAGAGAUGCCUCCUUGGUGCCUGGGACAGUGUCUGAUACAAGAAUGAUGUCAGAAUGGAAGUAAAUUUGUUGCAGGAAGACCCCUUCCAGGGCCUGAGAGCGGACACUUGUCGAACACUCGGAAAUGAAUUGCCCGAGGAGACACACAUGCUGACAAAGCAGGAGACUUUAUUGGGAAGGGGCGCCCGGGCAGAGAGCAGGAAGGACAUCCAGUCAUCCGCUGAGAACUGAAGAACGGCUUGAUGUUGGGAAACAUGCCAGGAGCCCCAGCGUGGGUUUAAACUGGCUCACUCUGCUGUGUGCAGGCUGAAGGGGGGUCGGUGGGAAUCAGGAAGACCAGGCAGGAGGCGCAUCCUGGAGCAGGACUUAAACCCCAACAAAUGGAAGAUGUUAACUACUUGAUGAAGCAUUCUUCAUUCCAGAGAGAAGGUCACAGUUUGAUAAACUCGAGAACCACAGAAACACAUCAGGAGACCACCUGAGGCCAGGUUAAAGGAGUGAAGGCUCUGCACACACCCUGUUCCUUAUCGGCAACCUCUCCCCUGAGCCACUGCUAUAGAACUCAUCAAAUCCCCCUGGGCUUGGGACACACAGAAGGCAUGAGCCCACCGUGUCCCCCUUUGCCUGGCAAGGCUGUAAAGCUGUUCUCUUCUACUUCACCUGAACUCUGUCUCCGAGAUUUGAUUUGGCACUGGUGCACAGAAGACGAGUUUCCACAUCAAACCCAGCAAGGAGGGUGACGUCAGUGGCCUUGGUGGGAGGGGACACAGGCUCAGGGCUGGAGUCAUCUGAAGAGUCACCACCUCACGUGCCUCUGGGACGGUCACAAGGAGGCUCCAGAUGGCCUCAGUGCAGCUUUGGCUUCCUCACAGCAGGGAGGCUGCCUUUCAAAGGAGACGGUCCCAAGAGAGACAGAGCCGUUGCCAACUCCAACAGUCAUGUCCCCCAUGACGUCUGGGGACACAGAAGUCCCUGAUUCUUUUAGUGCUUCUUCUGCCAGUAACCUCCCUGGGGAAGAUCCUUCACUCCGGGCUUGGAAUGUACACAUGAUGGCUGGAGCUGGAGCAGUCACCAUGGACCAUGAGGUAAUCUUGGGAAUGGAAGCCGCACACAGCUGAGC